rnacentral:lncRNA from 1 species
CCCAUUACUCACUGUGACAUUGGAGAGCCCCCCUGGUGUUUCCAGACCCACCCUCUAGAGGGUGGUGGCUUCCCACGUUGAGAAAAUGAUAGUUGAUUUCUAUUUUGGAGAGAAUGAAAUACUGUUAACUUUACAAGUUAAAAUUGUGACCAUUAUAUUUCUAUGUACUGUUCAUAGUUUGUAGCUUAGUCCUGAAUCUAGACAAGAAGAUAAUAUGGUAAAUGUGCAUUUUAGAAAAAUACAGAACCCAAAAACUGAUGCUGGUAUUUACCUGAAAACUUACAGGCUUUUAGACAUCUUGACAAAGAUUCCAUUUUUAAAUGUUCAAAGUUUAUAUCCUCAGGUUUUUCUUACUUCUAAUAUUCAAUGGUUAUGGUUAGAUUGAGGCAUAUCCAAGUGUUCCAAGGUAUCUUGCUAAGUUUCAAACAGUAAAAUUUACUA